rnacentral:rRNA from 1 species
UUUCCGGUUGAUCCCGCCGGAGGCCACUGCUAUCGGGGUUCGAUUAAGCCAUGCGAGUCGAGAGGGUUUAGACCCUCGGCGGACUGCUCAUUAACACGUGGAUAACCUGCCCUAAGGUGGAGGAUAACCCCGGGAAACUGGGGAUAAUACUCCAUAGAUUAGAGAUACUGGAAUGUUCUUUAGUCAAAAGUUCCGGCGCCUUAGGAUGGAUCUGCGGUCGAUUAGGUUGUUGUUGGGGUAACGGCCCAACAAGCCUGUAAUCGAUACGGGUUGUGGGAGCAAUAGCCCGGAGAUGGAAUCUGAGACAAGAUUCCAGGCCCUACGGGGCGCAGCAGGCGCGAAAACUUUACAAUGCAGGAACUGUGAUAAGGGAACCCCGAGUGCCCGUAUACGCGGGCUGUCCAGGUGUUUAAAAGUCAUCUGAAGAAAGGGCCGGGCAAGACCGGUGCCAGCCGCCGCGGUAAUACCGGCGGCUCGAGUGGUGGCCACUAUUAUUGGGCUUAAAGCGUCCGUAGCUGGACUGAUAAGUCUCUUGGGAAAUCCGCCGGCUCAACCGGCGGGCGUCUAAGGGAUACUGUUGGUCUAGGGACCGGGAGAGGUGAGAGGUACUCCGGGGGUAGGGGUGAAAUCCUGUAAUCCCCGGGGGACCACCGAUGGCGAAGGCAUCUCACCAGAACGGCUCCGACAGUGAGGGACGAAAGCUGGGGGAGCGAACCGGAUUAGAUACCCGGGUAGUCCCAGCCGUAAACUAUGCGCGUUAGGUGUACUGGUG